GAAUUGCGUGAGGGAUAGAGGCAAUAUCCUUUUGUGAAGAAAAAUGGAACAAAAGAUGAAGCUGAGAGCCCGGUUCGCC
rnacentral:sRNA from 2 species